rnacentral:rRNA from 1 species
UACGUAGGGUGCAAGCGUUAAUCGGAAUUACUGGGCGUAAAGCGUGCGCAGGCGGUUAUGCAAGACAGAUGUGAAAUCCCCGGGCUUAACCUAGGAACCGCAUUUGUGACUGCAUAGCUGGAGUACGGCAGAGGGGGAUGGAAUUCCGCGUGUAGCAGUGAAAUGCGUAGAUAUGCGGAGGAACACCGAUGGCGAAGGCAGUCCCCUGGGCCUGUACUGACGCUCAUGCACGAAAGCGUGGGGAGCAAACAGG